GCAAGUCGAGCGCACCUUCGGGUGAGCGGCGGACGGGUGAGUAACGCGUAGGAAUCUGCCCAAAAGUGGGGGAUAACUUGGGGAAACUCAAGCUAAUACCGCAUAUACCUAAGGGUGAAAGGUGGGGAUCUUCGGACCUACCGCUUUUGGAGGAGCCUGCGUCGGAUUAGCUAGUUGGUGGGGUAAAGGCCUACCAAGGCGACGAUCCGUAGCUGGUCUGAGAGGAUGGCC
rnacentral:rRNA from 1 species